rnacentral:miRNA from 1 species
UAGUGAAGGAGUGUGCAUGUGUAAAUUUCAUUCCGUGCUUUUUUUUUUGGUUUUUUUCGGCUUGCAAACAAAAGCGGAAAAAAGAAAAGCACGGAAUGAAAAGUUGCGGCGACCC